ACGGAGGGUGCAAGCGUUAAUCGGAAUUACUGGGCGUAAAGCGCACGCAGGCGGUUUGUUAAGUCAGAUGUGAAAUCCCCGGGCUCAACCUGGGAACUGCAUCGGAUACUGGCAAGCUUGAGUCUCGUAGAGGGGGGUAGAAUUCCAGGUGGAGCGGUGAGAUGCGGAGAGAGCUGGAGGAAGACCGGUGGCGAAGGAGGCAACAUGGACUAAGACUGACGCUCAGGUGCGAAAGCGUGGGGAGCAAACAG
rnacentral:rRNA from 1 species